CCGAUCAAUGACUAUGAACUGGCUUCCUACAUCACCGCCGGCCUCGACAUGGAGUACCGGCCUCUCAUCUCCGCCAACAACGCCCGCACCGAGCCCAUCAACCUCGACGAUAUCUUCGCUCAGGUGAGCAGUUUUGAUC
rnacentral:snoRNA from 1 species